UUUAGAAGGGGCAGCAGGAAGGAGAGCAAUAGUCUGACUUGUGCACAGUGAUGAAAUCAAGCCUUAGCACCAAAAAAGAGGUACCUGAGAAUCCCACUCAAGCCUCAUGAUCUACUUCUGCUACUCCAAUCAUCAGCUCACAAGGUCCCUGCUCCAGGCUAGAGCAGCCAGUGGAAGCACCAACACCAGUAUCACAAAGGUAAGCCCUGUAAUGGUGGCCAAAGUCUCCUCAUUAGCACAGGGGAAAUCCAGACGACA
rnacentral:lncRNA from 1 species